rnacentral:rRNA from 1 species
CCUACGGGAGGCAGCAGUGGGGAAUAUUGCACAAUGGGGGAAACCCUGAUGCAGCGACGCCGCGUGAGUGAAGAAGUAUUUCGGUAUGUAAAGCUCUAUCAGCAGGAACGAGACAAGACGGUACCUGACUAAGAAGCCCCGGCUAACUACGUGCCAGCAGCCGCGGUAAUACGUAGGGGGCAAGCGUUAUCCGGAAUCACUGGGUGUAAGGGGAGCGUAGACGGCUGUGCAAGCCUGAAGUGAAAGGCGGGGGCCCAACCCCUGGACUGCUUUGGGAACUGUACGGCUGGAGUGCAGGAGAGGUAAGUGGAAUGCCUAGUGUAGCGGUGAAAUGCGUAGAUAUUAGGAGGAACACCAGUGGCGAAGGCGGCUUACUGGACUGUAACUGACGUUGAGGCUCGAAAGCGUGGGGAGCAAACAGGAUUAGAUACCCUUGUAGUC